GGCUGGUCCAAUGGUAGUGGGUUAUCAGAACUCAUUGACAUUAGUGUCACUAAAGUUGAUGUAUAACCCCCCAAUGCUAAAUUUGACUGGCUAAAA
ensembl:misc_RNA Y_RNA Y RNA